GCCUCGCAAGUCCGUCGGGAAAUCCAUCAGCCCAACUACUGGGCGUCCGGCGGAAACUCCGAGGCUUGGGACCGGAAGGCUCGAGGGGUACGUCCGGGGUAGGAGUGAAAUCCUGUAAUCCCGAACGGACCACCGAUGGCGAAAGCACCUCGAGAAGACGGCUCCGACGGUGAGGGACGAAAGCUAGGGUCUCGAACCGGAUUAGAUACCCGGGUAGUCCUAGCCGUAAACGAUGCUCGCUGGGUGUGGCACUCGCUACGAGCGAGUGCUGUGCCGUAGGGAAGCCGAGAAGCGAGCCGCCUGGGAAGUACGUCUGCAAGGAUGAAACUUAAAGGAAUUGGCGGGGGAGCACUACAACCGGAGGAGCCUGCGGUUUAAUUGGACUCAACGCCGGACAUCUCACCAGCCCCGACUACGGUAAUGACGGUCAGGUUGAUGACCUCAUCACGAGCCGUAGAGAGGAGGUGCAUGGCCGCCGUCAGCUCGUACCGUGAGGCGUCCUGUUAAGUCAGGCAACGAGCGAGACCCGCACUCCUAAUUGCCAGCAGCAGUCUCGACUGGCUGGGUACAUUAGGAGGACUGCCAGUGCUAAACUGGAGGAAGGAACGGGCAACGGUAGGUCAGUAUGCCCCGAAUGGGCUGGGCUACACGCGGGCUACAAUGGCCGGGACAAUGGGUCGCCACCUCGAAAGAGGGCGCUAAUCUCAGAAACCCGGUCUCAGUCCGGACUGAGGGCUGAAACUCGCCCUCACGAAGC
rnacentral:rRNA from 1 species